GUGCUCGCUUCGACAGCACACAUACUAAAAUUGGAAUGAUACAUAGAGGAGGAGCAUGGCCCCUGUGCAAGGAGGGCAUACAAAUUUAUGAAGCAUUCCAUAUCUUU